CUUUUCUGUUCCCCACUCUCGCGGAUGAGCAUCGCUUUCCGGGGAGAGAGAGGUUGCAAGGAAGCUUGCAACGAUGCGAGGAAGAGCCGCCUUCUUCUGCGUGGCGCGCCCCCGCCCUCUUCUUGCUCGCUGGAAUUGUUCGUCGUUCUCCGCAUCGUCCCCUCAGGAUCUCUCGACGGUGGCCGCGUGUCCCUAUUGUGGCUGUUGGAACUCGAUAACGAAGCAGAUUUUCUCCUCAUGCCCUUCUCAGUUACUUCUCUCCUUUGCAAGAAUCUUUCUCACCCCAAAAACCCAGGCAAGAAUCACUUCUCACCCGAAAACCCUUGCAAGAAUCCUCUCUCACCUUGAAAACCGAAUCCCUUCUCACCGCCGAAAUUCUAGCAAGAAGUCCUUCCCUUCCCAGAUCUCUCCCAAACACCUAUCUAGAAUCCCUUCCUUCCCUUCUUAGGUCACUCGCUCCGUGGAAAUAAAGCAAGAGCGUUCUUCCUAUACUCUCUGAUCGGCGUCCCCGUUCUUGUCACGCAGGAACCCAGCCGAGGUGGUCGCUUGCCCUGAUCGAAUGAGCGCCUGUGUCUUUGAUCCGUUUCCAAGCUUUUGAAUUUGCCACAGCAUAACAUUGUGAGACAGUAGUAUGGAUGGCCAAGUUUAGGCUUAGGACAUUGGCUUUAUGGAGGGAGAAAUUGAAGAGAGUUUUAUGGAAACGAAGAAUGAGGUACACUUUACAAAUGUUUUCUGUGUAGGGAUAAUCAUCACCUUUAGAUCAAGAUACUGGAUGUUUAGACUAAUUGUUUUUAAAGAAAGGUUAUUAUGUCAGUUAUUUGGUAUUAAGCUUCUUAGUAUAGGAGAAGUAUAUUAUGUCAUUAUUUAAAUAUAUUUCAUUGUAGUGAUGCACUUUAUUCCAUUAUUCUCUUUAUAUUUUUACCUGUAUGUGGUUGUUUUAUAUUGCCUAUUGAUUCUCAUUGAUGGAUGUCUGACAUAAAAAAAUUCAACUUAAUGCUGAUUAUGAUCAAAAUUAUUUAUACUCUUCAUGACAUUUUAGAUUCUACAUUAUGCUAUUUAUCGCAUUAUGCUAUUUGAGAUUCUGCAUUAUGCAUUUAUCAAAAUUUUACUAUAUAUUUGUCACAUUAUGCUACACUUGAAUUUCUAUUAAGACAUUCUAACGGCUUCAUUUCAACUACUAUAGAACCUUUGUUUAAUAGGAGUAACUUCUCCGAUGGUUACAGUGUUAUUAAGCCCUUCUCAUUACUUGAUGAAGUAUUAUUUCAUUUUACUCUGUUUUAAAAUAUUUAUCCUAAAUUCUCAUAUUUACUUGCUUGUGCCCUUAAAAGUUUUGUAUAGGACAGUGAUUUAAAAAACGCUACGCGUCAAGGUCCCAAAAUGCUCAAGACGCUAGGUGCUCGCCUAACGCUUGCCCAAGUAAAGUGAGGCAUUUUAAAAUAUUAAAAUAUAAAAAAAAUAUAUAUAUAUAAUAUAAUUGAUAAAUAUGAUAAUAUAAAUAAAAAUACGAUAUUAAACUACUGUUAACAGUAGUUAGAGGGGGAGAAAAGAACUGUUAAGAGGGGGAGAAAAAGUUAUCGAUAGUGGAACUUUCGGAUGACAAUUGCUGCGAUGGAGGAAGCUGCAGAUGGCGAUAGCGAUAGUGGUAGCGACGGAAGUUGUGGAUGGCAAUAGCGACAACGAUAGAAGCUAUAGAUGAUGACAUCGUGGGCGGAGGAAGCUUCAAAGGUGUCCGUUGGUGGCGGAGGAAGCUAUGGUCUUCUCCCUCGAUGUUGGAAGGAGCUACACACAGAAGCAACAGUAGCAGAAGGAAGCUGCGGGCGAAGGCUAGGCUGUCAGACCUAUCCAUUGGCGACAAAGGAAGCCUCGGUCCAUUGCAUCUGCGGCAAACCGACAUAAAACUUUGUUUUGGUUGCUUCAUUUAAAUCAGGCGCUUGCUUGAGGCACUCAAUGCCUGGGUUCAGGCGAGCGCUCAGGUCACACCUCACUGAAGCACAUCUCGCGAGCGCUCGUUUAUUUAACCCAUUGGUACAUGAGAGAUUCAAAUUUAUGAUAUUUUGAAAUCUUGUCUGCAUUAUUACUUAUUCACUAGUGCAAUUGUUUCUGCAAUUGUCUGCAUUAUUACUUAUUCUGGCAAUAGCUGGUAUUAUAGCCAACUUGUGAUAUAUUUUUGGCCAAAUGGAUGGGUACAGUUAGA